rnacentral:tRNA from 1 species
GGCGGUGUAGCUCAGGUGGUUAGAGCAGGGGUCUCAUAAGCCCCGAGUCGGUGGUUCGAGUCCACCCACCGCCACCA